UAAAAUAAACUUUGCAGCACUUCUCGGGCAUCAAAAAGGAGUUGGUUUAAUAGAUUCUUCGGAAAAUCUGAUGUUAAGCCAGUGUCUGAGACGGUUUCAGACUCUGAAUCAGUAAAAGAAGCUAGAUUUAUUAGCUAUGCUGGAAGGCCACCAAGUGCUAGCCCUGCGACUGGUAGCAAGGCGCAACAUCUCAAAGAACAAACUAAUCUAUUCGACGACACGUUUAGCUUCUAAAACUACUGUUGUUUUUGUUUCUUGUUGAAUACUGAAGUUAAAUUUAAAUUGUACCUAUACGACUGCACUCGUUGUUAUUUUGCUCUUAUGAUGUGCAAGCAAUUCCCUUUUGAUAUGCUUACUUUAUCACAAUAGUAAACUCAUUAGAAAGAACUGAAGGAUACUGUGUUACAGAGAAUUUUUAAAGUGGUAAAUUAUUUAAGAACAAUCGAACGAAAA